rnacentral:tRNA from 1 species
UCAGAAAAUAGUUUAUUUAAAAUAUUAAUUUUGGAGAUUAAUGAUAAAGAGUUUUCUUUUUUUCUGAU